rnacentral:rRNA from 1 species
GAGUUUGAUCGUGGCUCAGAACGAACGCUGGCGGCGUGGAUAAGACAUGCAAGUCGAGCGGUAGAGAGAAGCUUGCUUCUCUUGAGAGCGGCGGACGGGUGAGUAAUGCCUAGGAAUCUGCCUGGUAGUGGGGGAUAACGCUCGGAAACGGACGCUAAUACCGCAUACGUCCUACGGGAGAAAGCAGGGGACCUUCGGGCCUUGCGCUAUCAGAUGAGCCUAGGUCGGAUUAGCUAGUUGGUGAGGUAAUGGCUCACCAAGGCGACGAUCCGUAACUGGUCUGAGAGGAUGAUCAGUCACACUGGAACUGAGACACGGUCCAGACUCCUACGGGAGGCAGCAGUGGGGAAUAUUGGACAAUGGGCGAAAGCCUGAUCCAGCCAUGCCGCGUGUGUGGAGAAGGUCUUCGGAUUGUAAAGCACUUUAAGUUGGGAGGAAGGGCAGUAAAUUAAUACUUUGCUGUUUUGACGUUACCGACAGAAUAAGCACCGGCUAACUCUGUGCCAGCAGCC